GUAAUGUGUCUGUAAUGUGUCUGUAUCUCUGUAAUGUAUCUCUGUAAUGUGUCUGUAUCUAUAUAAUGUAUCUCUGUAAUGUGUCUGUAUCUAUAUAAUGUGUCUGUAUCUCUGUAAUGUGUCUCUGUAAUGUGUCUGUAACUCUGUAAUGUGUCUGUAUCUCUGUAAUGUGUCUGUAUCUCUGUAAUGUAUCUCUGUAAUGUGUCUGUAUCUCUUCUGUAUCUCUGUAAUGUGUCUGUAAUGUGUCUGUAUCUCUGUAAUGUGUCUGUAAUGUGUCUGUAUCUCUGUAAUGUGUCUGUAUCU
rnacentral:lncRNA from 1 species